AAACAACCAAUCUUUCACGUUUUACCUAUAAUGUUUGACUCUUCAUCUUAUUUAAAUUUUUUUACGAUUAAUAUUUUUGUUUUUAUUAGAUAAUUAAUCAUGAAUAGUACUUUACGUGUAACUAAUUUUUUUAUUCUUUAAUUUUUUUAAAUAAGAUAGAUGAUCAAACGCUGGACACGGAUACCGAAAGAUUAAUAUCCG
rnacentral:pre_miRNA from 1 species